CCUACGGGAGGCAGCAGUGGGGAAUAUUGCACAAUGGUGGAAACCCUGAUGCAGCGACGCCGCGUGAGUGAAGAAGGUAUUCGUUAUGUAAAGCUCUAUCAGCAGGGAAGAAAAUGACGGUACCUGAGUACGACUCCCCGGCUAACUACGUGCCAGCAGCCGCGGCACUACGUAGGGGGCCAGCGUUAUCCGGAUUUACUGGGUGUAAAGGGAGCGUAGACGGCAGUGCAAGUCUGGAGUGAAAGGCGGGGGUUCAACCCCCGGACUGCUGUGGAAACUGUAAGGCUGGAGUGCAGGAGAGGUAAGUGGAAUGCGCAGUGUAGCGGUGAAAUGCGUAGAUAUUAGGAAGAACACCGAUGGCGAAGGCGGCUUGCUGGACUGUAACUGACGUUGAGGCUCGAAAGCGUGGGGAGCGAACAGGAUUAGAUACCCUGGUAGUC
rnacentral:rRNA from 1 species